CCAUCCCUACGGGACGCAGCAGUGGGGAAUAUUGCACAAUGGGGGGAACCCUGAUGCAGCGACGCCGCGUGGGUGAAGGAGCACCUCGGUGCGUAAAGCCCUCUCGGCAGGGAAGAAAAGCGAACAGGUUCGCCUGGACGGUACCUGACUAAGAAGCCCCGGCUAACUACGUGCCAGCAGCCGCGGUAAUACGUAGGGGGCAAGCGUUAUCCGGAUUUACUGGGGGUAAAGGGAGCGUAGACGGCCGUGCAAGCCUGGCGUGAAAGGCGGGGGCUCCACCCCC
rnacentral:rRNA from 1 species